AAUAGAUACCCCGGUAGUCCAUGCCGUAAACGUUGGGAACUAGAUGUAGGGCCUGUUCCACGGGUUCUGUGUCGUAGCUAACGCAUUAAGUUCCCCGCCUGGGGAGUACGGCCGCAAGGCUAAAACUCAAAGGAAUUGACGGGGGCCCGCACAAGCGGCGGAGCAUGCGGAUUAAUUCGAUGCAACGCGAAGAACCUUACCAAGGCUUGACAUAUAGCAGAACACCGUAGAAAUACGGGACUCUUUGGACACUGUUAUACAGGUGGUGCAUGGUUGUCGUCAGCUCGUGUCGUGAGAUGUUCGGUUAAGUCCGGCAACGAGCGCAACCCUCGUCCUAUGUUGCCAGCACGUUAUGGUGGGAACUCAUGGGAUACUGCCGUGGUCAACACGGAGGAAGGUGGGGAUGACGUCAAAUCAUCAUGCCCCUUAUGUCUUGGGCUUCACGCAUGCUACAAUGGCCGAUACAAUGGGCUGCGAUACCGCGAGGUGGAGCGAAUCCCAAAAAGUCGGUCUCAGUUCGGAUUGGGGU
rnacentral:rRNA from 1 species